rnacentral:ncRNA from 1 species
GUUCAUCUUCAAGGGGCAGGGUGUGAUUCCCGACCGGUGGUAAAGUCCAUGAGCUAUCUUUGGAUGGUCGAUUCGGUGUAAUUCCGAAACCGAUAGUUAAAGUCUAGAUAAAGGGAGAUUGAA